rnacentral:rRNA from 1 species
AUUGGACGCUGGCGGCAUGCUUUACACAUGCACGUCGAACGGUAACAGGGUGCUUGCACCGCUGACGAGUGGCGAACGGGUGAGUAAUGCGUCGGAACGUGCCGAGUAGUGGGGGAUAACGCAGCGAAAGUUGUGCUAAUACCGCAUACGUACUGAGGUAGAAAGUGGGGGACCUUCGGGCCUCACGCUAUUCGAGCGGCCGGCGUCUGAUUAGCUAGUAGGUGAGGUAAAGGCUCACCUAGGCGACGAUCAGUAGCGGGUCUGAGAGGAUGAUCGUCCAGACUGGGACUGAGACACGGCCCAGACUCCUAAGGGAGUCAGCAGUGGGGAAUUUUGGACAAUGGGCGAAAGCCUGAUCCAGCCAUGCCGCGUGCAGGAUGAAGGCCUUCGGGUUGUAAACUGCUUUUGUACGGAACGAAAAGGUUUGGCCUAAUAAGCUGAGCUCAUGACGGUACCGUAAGAAUAAGCACCGGCUAACUACGUGCCAGCCGCCGCCGUAA